rnacentral:rRNA from 1 species
CAGUAGCCUCGGGAAUACGAAGGGUGCAAGCGUUAAUCGGAAUUACUGGGCGUAAAGCGUGCGUAGGCGGUGAGUUAAGUCUGCUGUGAAAUCCCCGGGCUCAACCUGGGAAUGGCAGUGGAUACUGGCUCGCUAGAGUGUGUCAGAGGAUGGUGGAAUUCCCGGUGUAGCGGUGAAAUGCGUAGAGAUCGGGAGGAACAUCAGUGGCGAAGGCGGCCAUCUGGGACAACACUGACGCUGAGGCACGAAAGCGUGGGGAGCAAACAGGAUUAGAUACCCCCGUAGUCCCUGUCUCUUAUAC